rnacentral:rRNA from 1 species
AGAGCGAACGCUGGCGGCAGGCCUAACACAUGCAAGUCGAACGAACUCUUCGGAGUUAGUGGCGGACGGGUGAGUAACACGUGGGAACGUGCCUUUUGGUUCGGAAUAACUCAGGGAAACUUGUGCUAAUACCGAAUGUGCCCUUCGGGGGAAAGAUUUAUCGCCAUUAGAGCGGCCCGCGUCUGAUUAGCUAGUUGGUGAGGUAAAGGCUCACCAAGGCGACGAUCAGUAGCUGGUCUGAGAGGAUGAUCAGCCACAUUGGGACUGAGACACGGCCCAAACUCCUACGGGAGGCAGCAGUGGGGAAUCUUGCGCAAUGGGCAAAGCCUGACGCAGCCAUGCCGCGUGAAUGAUGAAGGUCUUAGGAUUGUAAAAUUCUUUCACCGGGACGAUAAUGACGGUACCCGGAGAAGAAGCCCCGGACUAACUUCGUGCCAGCAGCCGC